UACGUAGGGACCAAGCGUUAUCCGGAAUGAUUGGGCGUAAAGCGUCCGCAGGUGGCGAUGUAAGUCUGCUGUUAAAGAGUGAGGCUCAACCUCAUAAGAGCAGUGGAAACUACAUAGCUAGAGUACGUUCGGGGCAGAGGGAAUUCCUGGUGUAGCGGUGAAAUGCGUAGAGAUCAGGAAGAACACCGGUGGCGAAAGCGCUCUGCUAGGCCGCAACUGACACUGAGGGACGAAAGCUAGGGGAGCGAAUGGG
rnacentral:rRNA from 1 species